UACGGAGGAUCCGAGCGUUAUCCGGAUUUAUUGGGUUUAAAGGGUGCGCAGGCGGGAAAUUAAGUCGGCGGUGAAAUUUUGCGGCUCAACCGUAAAAGUGCCUUCGAAACUGGUUUCCUUGAGUGUAGAUGAAGUAGGCGGAAUUUGUGGUGUAGCGGUGAAAUGCAUAGAUAUCACGAGGAACUCCGAUUGCGCAGGCAGCUUACUAAACUACUACUGACGCUCAGGCACGAAGGCGUGGGGAUCAAACAGGAUUAGAUACCCGGGUAGUCCCUGAGCGGG
rnacentral:rRNA from 1 species